CCUACGGGCGGCAGCAGUGGGGGAUAUUGCACAAUGGGGGAAACCCUGAUGCAGCGACGCCGCGUGAGUGAAGAAGUAUUUCGGUAUGUAAAGCUCUAUCAGCAGGGAAGAAAAUGACAGUACCUGACCAAGAAGCCCCUGCUAAUUACGUGCCAGCAGCCGCGGUAAUACGUAGUGGGCAAGCGUUAUCCGGAUUUACUGGGUGUAAAGGGAGCGUAGACGGUUAUGUAAGUCUGGAGUGAAAGCCCGGGGCCCAACCCCGGGACUGCUUUGGAAACUGUGUAACUGGAGUGCAGGAGGGGCAGGCGGAAUUCCUGGUGUAGCGGUGAAAUGCGUAGAUAUCAGGAGGAACACCGGCGGCGAAGGCGGCCUGCUGGACUGAAACUGACGUUGAGGCUCGAAAGCGUGGGGAGCAAACAGGAUUAGAUACCCCGGUAGUC
rnacentral:rRNA from 1 species